rnacentral:rRNA from 1 species
AGAUUGAACGCUGGCGGCAGGCCUAACACAUGCAAGUCGAGCGGCAGCACGGGUACUUGUACCUGGUGGCGAGCGGCGGACGGGUGAGUAAUGCCUAGGAAUCUGCCUGAUAGUGGGGGAUAACGUUCGGAAACGGACGCUAAUACCGCAUACGUCCUACGGGAGAAAGCGGGGGACUUCGGUCCGUACC